UACGUAGGGUCCGAGCGUUGUCCGGAGUUACUGGGCGUAAAGCGCGCGCAGGCGGCGGUGUAAGCAUGGCGUGAAAGCCCCAGGCUCAACCUGGGAGGGUCGUCGUGGACUGCACCGCUUGAGGGCGGUAGGGGCUGGUGGAAUGCCUGGUGUAGUGGUGAAAUGCGUAGAGAUCAGGCGGAACACCCGUGGCGAAGGCGGCCAGGCUCGGGCCGUCCCUGACGCUGAGGCGCGAAGGGCGUGGGGAGCGAACGGG
rnacentral:rRNA from 1 species